rnacentral:lncRNA from 1 species
AGUCGAGCCAGCACUUGGCUGUGGCUGGGUGGGGUGUCAUCUGAACAGCCUCCUCCUCACCCCGCUCCACCUCUCACCCAGGACUCGGUAAGACCAAAAAUAACAAUAAUAACAACAGCCGUUUCAUCGAUGUGACCUCAUUUAAUCUGCACAAGAAAAUCACGAGGAAGCAUGCGACCUGACUCAGCAUCCCAGGAGGACAGCCUAUACCAACAGCCUGGACUUCUUUGUUCUAACAAGUUGGGACAUCCUUCGGUUGUUCCUUCAGGAUGGGUCCCUGGGUGUUUUGCGAAGGCAAUAUUUCAUUUCCUCAGAUAUUCUCUGAGAAACUGCUGGAAUUUCUGGUGUGGGGAAGCCUGUGCGGUUGAGAACUGGGCACCCUUCAGUGGCUAAACCAGUUUUUCUGGUUUUCUCUUUCACGAGGAACAACUAACCAGGAUGGCCUCCUUUGGACUGGUAGACACUCUGGGAUCCCUGGACUUACCUUAGGAAGCGAAAAGACUGCCCUCUCACUGUCACUAGGAUGGGCACUCAGAAAUCCUGGUAUUGUGACUAACAGAGGAAUUGUGAAUUUAUUUUGGCUCUCACGAUCAUGAAGCAGGACAUAUCCUAAAAGGACAUGGAAAUUAGCAGCUGUUUCCAAUGGUUUGGGCUCCUUCCCUCAGUUCCCAAAGGAGCUUCCCUUCGUCUUCUCUCUGAUAUGGGAUAAGUCAGUGGAGUCUGCACGGCGGCCUUUGGUGCCUGAGGUUCCACCAAAGCAAGUCUGGGCCACACAGUCUUAUCCUGUCAUAUGCUUUCUGCAGAUGUUCCAUGCCAGCACAUUCUCAUCCUCAGCUAUAUUUUUAAUCUAUUUCUAGGUCACAGACUACCCCUAAACUUAGCAGCUGAAAACCAUAAACACUUAUUCUCUCACAUAGCUCCUGUGGCUCAGGAAUCCAGGGGCAGCUUAGCUGCUGGUUCUGACUUAGGGUCUCAUGAAGUUGUGGGAAGAUGUCAGUUGGGACUGCAGUCACUUGAAGGUUUGAUUGGGGCUGGAGGACCCUUUCCCACAGUGGCUCACUCACAUAGUUAGCAAGCUGGUGCUGAUGGUUGGCAGGCAGACUCAGCUCCUCACCUUGCAGGCUUCUCCAAGGGCUGCUUGGGUCUCCUCACAACAUGGCGGCUGGCUUCCCCCAGAGUAAGUGAGCCAUCUGGGAGAGUGAGGCUGAAGCUGUGAUGUCUUUAAUGACACAGCCUAGAAAAUCACAUGCCAUCUCUCCUGCUGUAUCCUACCAGUCUCCCAGGCCAGCCCUAUUUAAUGUGGGAGGGGACUACACAAGGGCAUGACUACCAAGAGGUGGGGAUUGCUGGGGCCAUCUUGGAAGCUGGCUACCACACCAACCUUCAGUGGACUCUGUCUGAAGAGCGAUGAAGAUGACACCCAGUGCAGGCCCCACCAACUUCCCAUCAGCUCGCUUCCUCCUGUGCCCCUCACUAAUCUCCCCCCUCCUGCAUCUCAGCAGCGAGUUCCAGCUGCAGCACAAAUUGUCUUUCCCAGGCUGCCACAGCUCUGCCAACAACAGCUUCAGCUUUGGCAUAUCAUGCUUUCCUCAGGAAACAGACGAGAUGCGCCUAUUUCUUAGGGACAGCCCAGUUUGGGACCAUAGGGACAACCUCAGACCCGCUGACUCUGUUCCUAUCUCACUCUACCAGCCCUCUGCAGUUAAGGUGCCAGGAACAGAAGCCACCUCAGCCCCAAAAUGGAAUUUAGUGAAAGGAUGCCAGAGUGUGUCACAAGAUGGAGGGAAGCUGAAGAACCAAGAUCCAGGAAGCCCGGGACCAGGCAGUCUCGUAACCUGAACAACAGGGGGCC